rfam:Neisseria bacilliformis ATCC BAA-1200 genomic scaffold SCAFFOLD1, whole genome shotgun sequence.
UCCAGUGUGGUUCGCAACCCUCCCACAAUAAAAAACUAAGGAAAC